AAUCCUAACAAUCUCUCGUUUCGAUCAAUUCGAAAUGACAAUUUCCCCUCUAUUAUACCAUAUUCACAUAACGCAGUUGGAAUGCAACGAUGGAAACGAAAAUGUCACGAUCGGUGGACAACGUUAUUCAUGGCCACUUCUCUCCAAGAUGGAGGAGAGAAAACGUGUGCCAAUCCUUUCGGGAAAUAUGAUUCAUCGGGGAGUAUAGAUCCGGCGGAAGCUUGGCAAAAACAGUUGGUGAUUUAUUGAUCCGAGUUCAAUGUCUCGAAGAAACGAGAUUGGAAUUAGAACGAUACGAACGAUUUACUCACUGGCAAUUAUAUGUAAAUUUGUCGUGUCCAAGAAGAGGCACGACCGAAAUAAUUCACGAACUGUAGCAGAACGGACGCAACAACUUUCUUGCUGGCUUAAGUCGGGCUAACUUUGAGUCACGUUGCUCGAAAUUCCAUCGGAGUUUUCUAUGCCAAGUGCAGCAGCCUAUACGAACACGUAUGCGUUGUCAUAUAUUCAUUUUUUCGUUUCAAAUGACACUGUCAAAAAUAUAUCUACGUGAAAUAGUUGUAUGUUUUUUUUAGAUAAAUAUCGUCAGAAAAAAUAACGUCUGAUGCAUAAACCUGAAAGAAUCUCAGUAAUGAUUUGUUAAAAAUUUUACUAAUAAACCAAAAAUUACAAUUUA